CACAAACCGAGACUUCAUUUUGGCCAAAUGUGGGUGCUGACAGACACUGUUAACACAUACUUUAACAUCAUCACCCUCUUUUUCUUAUAUUUUGAUGCUCACUUUUCAGACAGAACAGACAAGAAACAGAAUAGUUAGAGAAUGGUGUUGAUGGAUGAGGUGAUGCAAAUUGUAAGUAAGCGCACACAUGUUUGUAGAUGCUAAAUAACCUGCAAAUUGUUUUUUAUGCGUGACAUUCUGCUAAGGUCGAAGAAAGUGAGAAUCUUUUCCAAGUUAGGCGCGAGAGUUGUUGGUGCUUCUGCUCGUGUAAAGGAAGCCAAGACGGAGGCCUUCACCCUCAAGAAUUUCGGCAUCAAAUAUAAUGAGAAACAUGCGAAUCCAUCUCUAUCUGAUGAAGUAUGGCGGUUAGAUUGUAUUUGGAGGCGUGGUGCGAUCGAUAAGCAGUCUUCUAGAAAACAACAUCUGCACCGUGGAGGAUUUCCUCAUUCAACGCCUCAAAAAUCCAUAAGUUUCUUCUGUAUUCCCUCCUCAGAUGACAAAUGAAAUGUCUAAUUAAGGUGCAAAUGAAGAAUUUUGGUAUCCAAUCUUGCCUUUGUACAAAUGAAGUAUUGAUGCUCACUUUUCAGACAGAACAGACAAGAAACAGAAUAGUUAGAGAAUGGUGUUGAUGGAUGAGGUGAUGCAAAUUGUAAGUAAGCACACACAUGUUUGUAGAUGCUAAAUAACCUGCAAAUUGUUUUUUUUUAUGCGCGACAUUCUGCUAAGGUCGAAGAAGGGUUGGAAUCAAAGAAAGCGAGAAUCUUUUCCAAGUUAGGCGCGAGAGUUGUUGGUGCUUCUGCUCGUGUAAAGGAGGCCUUCACCCUCAAGAAUUUCCGCAUCAAAGAUAAUGAGAAACAUGCGAAUCCAUCUCUAUCUGAUGAAGUAUGGCGGUUAGAUUGUAUUUGGAGGCGUGGUGCGAUCGAUAAGCAGUCUUCUAGAAAACAACAUCUGCACCGUGGAGGAUUUCCUCAUUCAACGCCUCAAAAAUCCAUAAGUUUCUUCUGUAUUCCCUCCUCAGAUGACAAAUGAAAUGUCUAAUUAAGGUGCAAAUGAAGAAUUUUGGUAUCCAAUCUUGCCUUUGUACAAAUGAAGUAUUGAUGCUCACUUUUCAGACAGAACAGACAAGAAACAGAAUAGUUAGAGAAUGGUGUUGAUGGAUGAGGUGAUGCAAAUUGUAAGUAAGCACACACAUGUUUGUAGAUGCUAAAUAACCUGCAAAUUGUUUUUUUUUAUGCGCGACAUUCUGCUAAGGUCGAAGAAGGGUUGGAAUCAAAGAAAGCGAGAAUCUUUUCCAAGUUAGGCGCGAGAGUUGUUGGUGCUUCUGCUCGUGUAAAGGAGGCCUUCACCCUCAAGAAUUUCCGCAUCAAAGAUAAUGAGAAACAUGCGAAUCCAUCUCUAUCUGAUGAAGUAUGGCGGUUAGAUUGUAUUUGGAGGCGUGGUGCGAUCGAUAAGCAGUCUUCUAGAAAACAACAUCUGCACCGUGGAGGAUUUCCUCUUUCAACGCCUCAAGAAUGCAACGUCCAAAUACAUGCAUCUCAUUACAAAGCAUUUUGACUAAAUCUCAUUCCGGGUUUUUUCUUUUUUCAGAGAGCCACACUAAUUACAACAAUAAUUAUCACACGAAAUGAUAACAAAAAGUUACCUAAUUGUUUUCAAAUGUCCGGAAAUAUUGUAUCCAAAAAUAUUAAUUA